AAAAAAAAAGAUGUGGUAUGAUUGCCAAUGAGACAACUCUCCACAAGAGACCAAAAUGACACAGACAUCAACAACUAUAGGUCACCGUACGGCCUUCAACAAUGAACAAAGCAUAUACCGCAUUAUCGGCUAUAAAAGGCCCCGAUGUGACGAUGUAAAACAAUGCAAACGGGAAAACUAACGGCCUUAUUUAUAUAAAAAAAAAUGAACGAAAAACAAAUAUGUAACAUAUAAACAAACUACAACC
rnacentral:lncRNA from 1 species